AUGCAGAGCACCACGCUAGGAGCAAAGAGGGCUUUUAUAAGAAGAUAAAAUGUUGAUCUCUGUUCUUCUAGGCCUAACUUUUCACCUAUGUCCGGCCUUUCCCAGAUGGGUCCUGGCCUUCUCUAGGACAAAUAAUGGCUUCUUCAGCAUUACACAGACACCAGGUUUCAUCAUGUUGACCAGCCUUGUCUGGAACCUCUGGCUCAAACAAUCCUCCCUCCUAGUCCUCUCAAAGUGUUGAAAUCACAGGCUGAGUCCAGGACCCAUGGAAAAGGCUCAUGCACGUACCCAAGGAAUGGAAUACUUUAUUGCAGUUACAGCUCAAAUCUGUGUGUGGGACAGACCAAGAGCUCCUCCUAAUGGCAUAGCCAAGGAAACAGUGAACUGGAACUGCCACCCCCUGAUUUUGAAGAAGGACUCCAUCUAUCUGAAAGUAUUAAUUUAUGAUCAGAUGUGCCCCUGAGGAGCCUACACCACCACUUUCUGUCUGGGUCUCUACUGUAGCUAUGAAACCUGCUACAUUGUCCAUUUCUCAGCACUGUCCAGAAUAAAAUGUUUCUCUUUCUCAGUUCAUCAUUAGAAUGUGGGUUAUUUUCUUCUUAAAGUACCUAAGUUUUAAGACUAGCAGUAGCUGAGUGAAAUAUGUUGGUCUCAUCAAACACUGCACACAGCUAUUUACCU